AGGAGCUUGCUCCUUGGGUGACGAGUGGCGGACGGGUGAGUAAUGUCUGGGAAACUGCCCGAUGGAGGGGGAUAACUACUGGAAACGGUAGCUAAUACCGCAUAACGUCGCAAGACCAAAGAGGGGGACCUUCGGGCCUCUUGCCAUCGGAUGUGCCCAGAUGGGAUUAGCUAGUAGGUGGGGUAACGGCUCACCUAGGCGACGAUCCCUAGCUGGUCUGAGAGGAUGACCAGCCACACUGGAACUGAGACACGGUCCAGACUCCUACGGGAGGCAGCAGUGGGGAAUAUUGCACAAUGGGCGCAAGCCUGAUGCAGCCAUGCCGCGUGUAUGAAGAAGGCCUUCGGGUUGUAAAGUACUUUCAGCGAGGAGGAAGG
rnacentral:rRNA from 1 species